rnacentral:rRNA from 1 species
UGACCCGUCUUGAAACACGGAUUGGGUGUUGAAAACUCAAGGCGCAAUGAAAGUAAAGCAUYCGCAAGGGUGCGACGUGUGAUCCUGGCAAUCACGGUCAGGAGCAACAUGGCCCCAUUCUGGCCGCUUGCGGCGGGGUGGAGGAAGAGCGUACGCGGUGAGACCCGAAAGAUGGUGAACUAUUCCUGAGCAGGAUGAAGU